UACGUAGGGGGCAAGCGUUGUCCGGAUUUAUUGGGCGUAAAGAGCGUGUAGGCGGCCAGGUAGGUCUGGUGUGAAAACUCGAGGCUUAACCUCGAGAUGUCAUCGGAAACCAUUUGGCUAGAGUCCGGAAGAGGAGAGUGGAAUUCCUGGUGUAGCGGUGAAAUGCUUAGAUAUGCCAUAGAACACCGAUUGCGAAGGCAGCUUACUGGGCUUUGAUUGACGCUGAGGCACGAAAGCGUGGGGAGCAAACAGG
rnacentral:rRNA from 1 species